CCUUUUUUUUUUUUUUUUUUUUUUUUUGACACAAUGUGUAGUUGAAAGACUCUCCAUCAGAUGAUUUCUAUAUGCAUUUAAAUUCCUAAAGUUCAUCAGAGAGGGCCUUAUUUCCUGGGUAGAUGACAAAAUGCAGAUUUCCAGAGGUGACUUCAUCAUCUCUUUCCUCUCCCCUAGCCCGUGCUUGUCCACAAAACACACUCUAAAACAAUACAGACAGAAGCAGGAAGCCAGAUCUAAUAUUUCAAUACUAUCAGAGCAGACUUCAAAAGCAGGCAAAAUGAAAGUUUUUAUAUUGUUACUUCAAGUAAAUGUCCUAGAAUCAAAUGCCUGGGGAAGGUUACAUUUAUCUGUUACUCAGGAAUCCAACUCCUUAGGACAAAUCUUUGAAGUUAUGCCAAGAGCAGGUGGCAUAAAGGCAGAAGCUCAAGGGAAGAGACACUAAAUGCCUAGGGAAUGGGUACCU
rnacentral:lncRNA from 1 species